rnacentral:rRNA from 1 species
CUCUUGAGCACAGGAAAAGAAACUAACAAGGAUUCCCCUAGUAACGGCGAGUGAAGCGGGAAGAGCUCAAAUUUGUAAUCUGGCGGCCUUUGGCCGUCCGAGUUGUAGUCUCGAGAAGCGCUUUCUGCGUCGGACCGUGUACAAGUCCCUUGGAACAGGGCGUCGUAGAGGGUGAGAAUCCCGUCUUUGACACCGACUGCCGGUGCUUUGUGAUGCGCUCUCAAAGAGUCGAGUUGUUUGGGAAUGCAGCUCAAAACGGGUGGUAAAUUCCAUCUAAAGCUAAAUAUUGGCGAAAGACCGAUAGCGAACAAGUACCGUGAGGGAAAGAUGAAAAGCACUUUGGAAAGAGAGUUAAACAGUACGUGAAAUUGCUGAAAGGGAAACGCUUGAAGUCAGUCGCGUCUCCCGGGACUCAGCCGUGCCCCAUCGGGCGCGGUGUACUUCCUGGGUGUGACGGGCCAGCAUCGAUUUCGGCCGUCGGAGAAAGGCCUUGGGAAUGUGGCACCUUCGGGUGUGUUAUAGCCCUGGGUCGCAUGCGACGGGUCGGGAUCGAGGACCGCAGCGCGUUYCUUCUUCCUUCACGGGGAGGGGGCUCGGGGUUCGCCCCACCACAAACGUUGCUUCAGGAUGCUUGGCGUAAUGGCUUUAAGCGACCCGCUUG